GUGGGUUUUAAAGCUUGAGAUCUGAGCGGGGUCCCACCGAAGGGCAGGCUAAUUAAGCUGUUGUCUGUUCUCACCUCUCUUGCUACUUGUUUUUAUCUCCUUAAGUUUAAAUGGAAACCCAGACGUGGACCCUUUGCUCACGGUGCCUAGAGGGAUAUUGGCUAUACCUCACUGAUGAUACAUUACAAGGUUGAAAUGAUCGUCUGGGAUUGCUUUAUUUCUCGUGCAGAGUGAACUUGCUGGCAUUUUGGAU